GAUGAACGCUGACAGCAUGCUUAACACAUGCAAGUCAACUUGGCGGACGGGUGAGUAACGCGUAAAGAACUUGCCUCACGGAUAGGGACACCAUUUUUAAACGAAUGCUACUACCUGUUACUGUGAGAGAGCUUUGCGUCCCCUUAGCUCGUUGGAGCGGUAACGGCUCACCAAGGCGAUGAUGGGUAGCCGGCCUGAGAGGGUGAUCGGCCACAAGGGGACGGAGAAACGGCCAGUACUCCUACGGGGGGAAGCGGGGGGGAAUAUUGCACAAUGGGCCAAAGUCUUAUCCAGCAAUUCUGUGUGCAAGAUGAAGUUUUCGGAAUGAAAAGUGAGCUCAGUUGGGAAGCGGUACCGACAGAAGAAGUAACGGCUAAAUACGUGCCAGCAGCCGCGGUAAUAC
rnacentral:rRNA from 1 species